UACGGGGGGAGCAAGCGUUGUUCGGAUUUACUGGGCGUAAAGGGCGCGUAGGCGGCCAGCACAAGUCAGUUGUGAAAUCUCCGAGCUUAACUCGGAAAGGUCAACUGAUACUGUGUGGCUAGAGUGCAGAAGGGGCAACUGGAAUUCUCGGUGUAGCGGUGAAAUGCGUAGAUAUCGAGAGGAACACCUGCGGCGAAGGCGGGUUGCUGGGCUGAUACUGACGCUGAGGCGCGAAAGCUAGGGGAGCGAACGGG
rnacentral:rRNA from 1 species